AUGCUCCACUCGAAUCACCACCGUUAUUGGUUUCUCCUUCCGCCGCAAGGGGUUCUCAACUGCCCUAUCGACCGGAACCUCCAAACAACUGUCCUGCGGCCACUGUUCAUCACACCUUGGUCGACUUUUAGUGUGCACCAUGUUUUUCUUUUCUUUUUGUUGAGAAUCCCUGUUAUUCAUCAUAUCAGGGGUCCCCAACCAUUGAUUAAAAGUGGUGCUUCCGGCGGCGUGUUCAUUUUGGACGUAGGACUUUUUGGCCGGAACCCUAAAAGAUCUUAUUCAUACAUGUAUUUGUGA